CCGAGUUUACAACUCCCAAACCCCUGUGAACAUACCUAUACGUUGCCUCGGCGGAUCAGCCCGCGCCCCGUAAAAAGGGACGGCCCGCCCGAGGACCCCGAAACUCUGUUUUUAGUGGAACUUCUGAGUAAAACAAACAAAUAAAUCA
rnacentral:misc_RNA from 1 species